CUAUUAGCGAUCAGCUGCUCGCAAAAAGCAAAGCAGAGUGCGAAAAUGGGAAAAUUGUUAUUGCCGUCCCAAAGAAGAGAGCGCGAAGGCUGUGAGGCUGUCUCUACCUGUGUGUAUUUGUGCGGGUGUAGUUUAAAUAUAUUUUCUUAUCUUAUCUAAUCAUCUAUAAAAGUUAAGUCAGCUGGCAAACUAAAUUGAAUUUUAUACCCGGUACUCGAAGAGUAAAUAGGGUAUAUUGGAUUUGUGCACAAAGUGAAUGUAUGUAACUCACAAAAGGAAACGUUUCCGACCCCAUAAAGUAUAUAUAUUCUUGAUCAGCAUCAUUAGCCGAAUCGAUUGAGACCGGAUCUCAAAGACCAUAAAAGCUAGAGACACAAAAUUGUGCACUUCUGUAUUCUAACACAGUUAAAAGUGUAUUUAAAAAAUUAGCCCCGCUUCCUUCCGAACCAGCAAAACGGCGAAAACCCAGAUAUCUGGGAUAUAACUCUGUAACAAGUGUAUUUAAAAAUUUCGCAACGCCCCCUUCCGACCAAACAAAGGGAAAAAAGGAACAAUUUCUUCUGAAGAUAAGAUAAAACUAAAAAUACAGUUCCGUAGGGAAUGACCAUAUCCAUCAGAAAACCGUAUUGGAAUCAGAUUGAGUCAAUAAUAUAGCCAGACUGAAGAAAUGUAUUUGCAGUGGCUAAACCCACCCUGUCCAGCAGCUUUGCUUGUUCUAGUUUUUUGUUGCUCAUGCUUUCUUGCUCGUACACUCUGCGUCAUGCUGUUUGCGUCACUGGGGGACGUCUGCAAGCUAAAAGGCGGGAGAAGUAAUGUAGAUGACAGGUGUCAUCCGAGUCUGGUAUCAUCUACACCUGUCGUCUAGAUCUACAUACAUAUGUAGAAUGUAAAACGAGAAGGGUCGUGUGAGACGCAUCUUACGCGUCACAACAUUUAUACCAAUUACUCAGUCAGUGGACCUGAACCAUGUUGUUUUUUUUUCCAAUUUGACAUUUUACAUUUUUUCUACACCUGUCAUCUACAUCUACAUCUACAUCUUCAUAACUCCUCACGCCAACACGCUAUUUUCGCUCGCCCCUUCACCCCUAGAGCCGUACACUGCAGAGUCACGGCAGAGGCAGAGGCCGCACACUGCAGAAGCAGAGUGUGAAUGAGAGAAAGUGAAAAAAACAACAAAAGCUGCUGGACAGGGUGGGUUUAGCCACUGUAAAUUCAUUUAUUCAUUGUGGCUAUAAUAAUGAUCCAAUCGGAUCUGAUAUGGUAAUUGCGUACGGAAUGGCGUUUUUAGUUUUAGCUCAACAAGACGGACGGACGGACAGACAGACAUGGCUUUAUCGACUCAGCUAUUGAUGCUGAUUAAGAUUAUAUAUACUUUGUGGGGUAGAAAACGUUUCCUUCUGUGCGUUACAUACAUUCAUUUUGUGCACAAAAAUAUGGUCAUUCCCUAGUGAAUGGCGUAUUUAGUUUUCUUUUAUCUUUCAAAUUGUAGAUUUGGGAGGUUUUCGCCCUUUUGUUGGGGCAAAAGGGGGCGGGGCUCAUUUUUGAAAUACACUUGUAACAGUGUGAGCAUACAGAAGUCUGGAUGCUACAUUUGGUGGCUCUAGCUGUUAAAGUCUCUGAGUACUAGGCGCUCAUCAGGACGGACAGACGGAGAGACGGACGGACAGACAGACAUGGCUCAAUCGACUUUAUAUACUUUAUGGGGUCGGAAAUGUUUCCUUCUGUGUGUUAAAUACUCCUCGUUUUAUAUACAACUAUAUAUAUUUUAAAUCAGAAAUAUUUCAAAUAUCUAUUAACAUCUGAAUAAUCUAUAUAUAUAAAAGAAAGUCGUAUUUUGUUAAACACUUAUAACUCGAGAACGGCUGGACAGAUUGCCAUGGUUUUUGAUUUGUUGGAUUUGUUUCCGUCGCAGAAUACAUCAGAAAACAACUUAUGGCCUGUUUGUUGCGGCCAUAAGGCCAAAACUUUAUUUUUUUCUGAGGAUAUCAUGUGUGUGUUCAGAAAUUUGUCUAAAAAGUUAAUUUGUUCAUUUGUUGUUCAUUUCUAUUUGUUUAAUCAUAUUUAAUAUUUGUUUUAUUUAUUUGUUUAAUUUUGUAUUAAUCAUUUUAAUAACAAUGCCGCGUCCUAGAAGAUCCAAUCUUUCCCAGCGAAGCCGUAAUGCAAUUAGGCAACGGAAUAUCGCGAGUCAAUUAUCUGAAAUUGCACGAGAACAGCGCCGCGUUAAUAUGGAGCAAAGAAGGGCCUUAAUUCGUGCUUCUCAAACACAAGAGCAAAGAGAGAGAAAUCGUCGAGCUUAUGGUACAGAAGAACAGAUGAAUAAUCUUCGAAGUGCAAGAAGAAAUGGUUUGAAUCGAGCAGCGUUUCUGUAUGAUUGCACCAUCCACUACAGCUUGCAUCGUUUAGUUUGCAUUGGUCCAAUGGACGUUGUUUGCCAGCACUGUGGAGCAUUGAAGUUUGCUGGUAAAACGCCUGGUUUGUGCUUCCUUAGUGGUAAAGUGAAAUUGCCAUUAUUAGUCCCGCCACCAGAGCCAUUGUGCUCCCUGCUUUAUGGCGAAUUCUAAUUUAGUAGAGAGUAGCUGUAAGAGUAUUUAACCUAUUACGGGUUCUAAAAUAAAAUUUUUACUGCAUUUGUUUCAGGUGAGGAAACUACCAAGAAGGUUAGUUCGAUGGUUCGUGAAAAUUCUGACAAUUAUUUGUUGCGAUUUCUUCGACUGCUUCAACAAUAUUGCGUUGACAUGUACGUUAAAAUCGAAACGGAGCGCCUGACUUUCAUUCGGUUGAGUCAAGCUAAGUUGCGUUCAGAGGAGUAUACCCAUUUACGAGAUGCAAUUAGCACAGAAGGAGAUUCAGAAAAUGUUGGUCGAUUGACUAUUUUACCGGCGACAUACAUAGGUAGCCCGCGUCAUUUGCAUGAAUAUGCGCAAGAUGCAAUGACAUACGUUCGUCAUUAUGGUCGGUCAGAUAUAUUCAUUACAUUUACAUGUAAUCCGAAGUGGAUAGAAAUUAUUCACUUGCUGCUUCGCGGACAAACAUCAAGUGUCAAGGUCACUAAUGAAUUACAUUGUUAAGCAACACGUCUUUGGGAAUACUCGAUGCUGGAUGUAUUCAAUCGAAUGGCAAAAACGAGGCCUACCGCAUGCUCACAUUCUGAUUUGGUUAGUCGAAAGAAUUCGGCCAGAUCAAAUAGAUGACAUCAUAUGUGCGGAGAUUCCUGCUCCUGAAACCGAUCAAUUUGCGAUUUGUUAAAGCGAUGCGUUCGCACGAACUUUGUUUUACUCAGAAAUUCCACGUUAUUACACUUGGAAUGCUACAUCGAAGAAAUUUCAACGUCGGAAGCAAGGCGAUGCAGUUCCUGGUCAUCCAGAUAUGCGUUCUACUGAUGCUCUUGGUCGUAUUUACACAGUUCAUCCGAAGAAUGAUGAAUGUUUUUAUUUACGGUUGUUUCUGGUACAUGUUCGAGGGCCAACAUCAUUUGAAUCACUGCGAACUGUUAAUGGUAUCGUGUGCCCCACAUUUCAAGAGCCAAGAGCUAAAUUUGCUUGAAAACGAUACUCAUUGGGACACGACAAUCGCUGAAGCAAUUAUUUCUGCAUCUCCAAGUCAGAUACGCACAUUAUUUGCUAUCAUCAUUUCAACAUGCUUCCAUGUUCCAUGCUUACAUGUCCGAAGAUAUUUUACAUCGAAUUCGCGUCAGCUCAAGAAAUUACGAUCUUGAGGUGAAUGAGGAGAUCCAUAACCAGACUUUGCUCUUGAUCGAAGAAAUGUGUUACCUCAUGUGCGGCAGUUUGUUAGUUAGGUUAGGAAUGCCAGCGCCAGAUCGCGGAAUGAAUGACGCAUUUAAUAGAGAAUUGGAACGUGCACAUGAAUAUGAUCCACAUGAACUAAUCCAAUCAGUUCAAACGAAUGUACCUCUGUUGAAUCCUAAGCAGAGGGAAGUCUAUGAUACACUGAUUAAUGCAAUUGAUGAUGGAAAUGGUGGUUCCCCCGGUGGAACUGGGAAGACAUUCCUCAUGUCAUUGAUUUUGGCCACUGUACGUGCGAGAUCCGAAAUUGCGGUAGCAAUUGCUUCUUCUGGAAUAGCGGCCACAUUGUUAGACGGAUGCCGUACGGCUCACUCAGCGUUAAAAUUGCCAUUAAACCUUCAAACUACUGAACAACCGACAUGUAACAUUUCGAAAAACUCCGCAAUGGACAAAGUUUUAGUAUCAUCAAAAAUCAUCAUAUGGGACGACUGCACAAUGGCUCACAAACGCGCAUUGGAAGCACUAGACCGAACAUUAAAAGAUCUGCGCAAUGACUCGAGAUGUUUUGGUGGUGCAAUGAUUUUAUUAUCCGGCGAUUUCCGACAAACACUACCAGUCAUUCCUAGAUCUACUGCUGCAGACGAAAUAAACGCUUGCCUCAAAGUAUCAAAUCUGUGGCGAUAUGUAAAGAAACUUCAACUGUCUGUAAAUAUGAGAGUUGCAUUGUUGAACGAUCUAUCUGCAAUCUGCGAUCUCAAAGCAAUUGCUGACUAUCGGUAAUGGCAGUGUUCCUGUUGACAAAUCGAGCGGUUUGAUUUCAUUUCCUAGAAAUUUUUGCAAUUUCGUAUCAUCAGAAGACGAGCUUAUCAACAAAGUAUUCGCGGAUUUCAUUGCUAACCACAAAAAUACUAAAUGGUUAAGUGAGCGAGCAAUUUUGGUCGCUAAAAAUAAAGAUGUAGAUGACCUCAAUCUUAUAAUUCAAAAUCAAAUCGUAGGUACUCUAUAUUCAUUCAAAUCUAUUGAAUGUGUAACAAACGAAGAAGAAGCCACUAAUUAUCCAACUGAAUUUUUAAACUCCUUGGAUGUGCCUGGUUUACCACCGCACAAUUUAAAACUUAAAGUUGGCUCGAUAGUCAUCAUGCUUAGAAAUUUAAACCAACCAAAACUGUGUAAUGGAGCGCGUUUGGAAAUAAGAAAACUGAUGAGCAAUGUGAUUCACGCGUCGAUAUUUAAAGGAAAAUUUAAAGAUGAGGAAGUUCUUAUUCCAAGGAUUCCGAUGAUCCCAACGGAUAUGCCCUUUGAGUUUAAACGAAUUCAAUUCCCGAUUCGUCUUGCCUUCGCCAUGACGAUCAACAAAUCACAGGGCCAAUCCUUGACUAUUUGUGGCCUAAAACAUUCAUUUUCUAUGUUUUUCUCAUGGUCAAUUGUACGUGGCAUGCUCACGUGUCGGCAAACCAUCCGCUUUAUUUGUUCUUGCGCCUGACCAAAAAACAAAGAAUGUCGUUUACCACAAAGUGCUUGAAUGAAAAUCCUAUUACCAUCGCAUUGGAUCAUUGCAACCUAUAGAAGAUGCUCAGCAUAAAUUCUUGCAAAUAUACUUCAUAGGCAAUAUGCAAGAACAACUUGACAGGCGUCAAAAGAUCAACACAGCUACGAAGAGGGCAAUUCUCCAAGAUCUACAGCAAAUGCUUCAUGAACAUCAUGCAUUGGUCAGGCUGUUCAAGACUGCUUUAGAGCGCAUGCCAAGUGAUUGCAAUUCGGUCAAGUCAAUUAAAUACAUUUGCAAAUAUGUCAUGAAAGGGAGCGACAUGGCGGUUUUUGGUAUCCAAACAUCCAAUACCAACGAUGAAAUCACGCGCUAUCAAGUUGGUACUUUUUUGUUUCUAUUUCUAUAAACAUAUUAUUUUGUAUCAUUGUUUUACGUUCAUCAAAGCCUAAAUUAGUUCAGCUAAAAAGUAUCACGACAUUCAUUGACUGUUAGGCGGUGCGAAGUUCGCCGGGUCAACUAGUUAUAAAUAUUUAUAAAAUUAAUAAAACAUAAACAAAUAACUAUAAAAUAAGUCCGCUGAAGUCCCUUGUUUCUCGGUCUAAAAAUAUUGAUUGUAAUGUAGAACUAAUCCUGGUGAACAAUUUAGUAAAUAAAGAAGUCUUCUAUAAUACGAUUUUUGUCAAAAUAAAGACAAUUUGUGUGGCGAAAAAAUAUAUACUCACC
rnacentral:lncRNA from 1 species